GAGUCACGUGAUGCAUGUCAUGGCCGCCUCCAUGGCCCGGGGAGGCGUGAGUGCCAGGGUUCUACUGCAGGCUGCCAGGGGCACCUGGUGGAACAGACCUGGGGGCACUUCCGGGUCGGGGGAGGGGGUGGCGCUGGGGACAACCAGAAAGUUUCAAGCGACAGGCUCGCGCCCGGCUGGAGAGGAGGACGCGGGCGGCCCGGAGCGGCCCGGGGACGUAUUCUACCCGGGCCCUGAGCCCAUCAUCCAGUUCGGCAUUCGCACUUCCAUCUGUCCCCAGGGUGAACGUGGUGUUCGUAGACCGCUCAGGCCAGCGGAUCCCAGUGAGUGGCAGAGUCGGGGACAAUGUUCUUCACCUGGCCCAGCGCCACGGGGUGGACCUGGAAGGGGCCUGUGAAGCCUCCCUGGCCUGCUCCACCUGCCAUGUGUAUGUGAGUGAAGACCACCUGGAUCUCCUGCCUCCUCCCGAGGAGAGGGAAGACGACAUGCUAGACAUGGCCCCCCUCCUCCAGGAGAACUCGCGGCUGGGCUGCCAGAUUGUGCUGACACCGGAGCUGGAAGGAGCGGAAUUCACCCUGCCCAAGAUCACCAGGAACUUCUACGUGGAUGGCCAUGUCCCCAAGCCCCACUGACAUGAACACCUGGACCAUUCCACAUUGCCAUGGCCCCAGGGCCCAGAUUGAGGGAAUAGCCAGGUGCCAGCCCUGCCCAGAGUGCGGACAGGCCCGGGAGAGACGUGGAAGCCCCUGUGAAGGACAACACCCCUGCUUGGGAGAGAGUCCCAUGUCCAGGCUCUGGUGGGGACAGGGCCCCUAGUGGGGUGGCCUUCCCCAGGCCCCUGAGAAUCAGGGUUUGAGUAGGAGUGGACUCAUAUUGGAGCUGCAAUAAAUCGAUAACACAGGCCCCAGCAUGUUGAGUGUCCUUGGGGGACAGAUCUGGGGUCUACAGGUGGCUCACACCUGUAAUCCUAGCACUUUGGGAAGCCAAGAUGGGAGGAUCACUUGAGGCCAGGAGCUUAAGACCAUCCUGGGCAACAUGGCGAGACCUCGUCUCUAUAAAAACAGUAAAAAUUAGCGUGGAGUGGUGGUAAGUGCCUGUAGUCCCAGCUACUCGGGAGACUGAGGUGGGAGGAUCACUUGAGCCCAGGGGAUUUAGGCUGCAGUGGAGCGGUGAUCAGGCCAUUCCACUCCAGCCUGGGUGACAGAGUGAGGCCCUGUCUCAAAAAAAAAAAAAACAAAAACAAAAACAAACCACACCUGCAUCUGCUGUGCUGGGCCCCCGGUUCUCUUUUCCCUCUGGGAUCUAAGAUGCCGCUGGGGAUCCAAGGCAGAGGCCUGGGAGCCCCCAUUUCCGAGGGGGAGGGCUAGCGUGGAAGGCCCCGCCCCGGCAGCUGCGGAGGGAUUUGGUGGGGUCCAGGCCGCCCUUGCCACGCAGGGGUGCGCGGAUGACCUGAAAAAAGCCAGAAAGAGGAAAGGUGCCGCCGAGGCUGGUCGCUCUCAGCUGGGGCUCAUCGCAUCCUCUACCAAGAGCGCUCCCACCACACAGGUCCCGCCCCUCCCAGGUGGGUUUCAUCGGGUGGGCCCAGCGGGACAGGGCCGGGUGAAAUUAGGGAGGGGGCUGGGCUGGGGCGCAAUGGAGGCCGAGCCAAUCCCGGACUCCUCAAUGCCAGCAAAGCUUCUGGCGCCGCCCUGUCUGAACCUGGAGCGGCUGGGAGGAUCCCCCUCCCAGGAGAAGCCGAGGACCCCAGGAUGCUGCAGAAUCAGUGAGAGGUCCCUCUGGCCUGCAUGCCAGGAGUCGGUCACCGCCCUGUGCUUCCUCCAAGAGACAGUGGAGAGGCUGGGUCAGUCCCCUGCCCAGGACACCCCGGUCCUGGGGCCUUGCUGGGACCCGAUGGCUCUGGGGACUCAGGGCCGCCUGCUGCUGGACAGGGAUUCCAAGGACACACAGACCAGGAUCAGCCAAAAGGGCCGCCGUCUGCAGCCCCCGGGGACUCCCUCGGCCCCACCCCAGAGAAGGCCCCGGAAACAGCUGAACCCCUGCCGGGGCACCGAGAGAGUGGACCCUGGGUUCGAGGGGGUGACUCUGAAGUUUCAGAUAAAGCCGGACUCCAGCCUGCAGAUCAUCCCCACGUACAGCCUGCCCUGCAGUAGCCGUUCUCAGGAAUCCCCUGCAGAUGCUGUUGGGGGCCCUGCAGCCCACCCAGGAGGCACCGAGGCCCACUCAGCAGGCAGCGAGGCCCUGGAGCCCCGGCGCUGUGCUUCCUGUCGGACCCAGAGGACCCCGCUCUGGAGAGACGCUGAAGAUGGGACCCCUCUCUGCAACGCCUGUGGGAUCAGGUACAAGAAAUACGGCACUCGCUGCUCCAGCUGCUGGCUGGUGCCCAGGAAAAAUGUCCAGCCCAAGAGGCUAUGUGGCAGAUGUGGAGUGUCCCUGGACCCCAUUCAGGAAGGUUAAACCCAGCUUCACCCUGCUGAGCUGCUGCUUCUGCCUCCGUUUCACCAGUGGGAGAAUGGGCAGAAGCAGCUCUCCUAGGAGGAUUGGGGAAAGAGCCGGCCUGCCUCCUCUCUGCCAUCUCCAGAUUCAAGGAUCCCGGGGGAAGACCCAGGCCUCAGGUGGCAGAGCCUGCUAGGGGUCACCAGCCCCUUCUCCAGUCAGCCUUGGCCGAGGCCCCCUCAGGAGACGCUCUCAGGAAGGAUGAGCAUUGUUACAGCAGGGACAAUAAAGUACAGAGAUAUGCCGAGA
rnacentral:lncRNA from 1 species